GGCUGGGGUGCGGCAUUCCUGCUCCCUUCGGGAGCUCUGCCUGGGCUGCACUCAGGAGAGGCCCUGCCCUGCUGCUUUCGCUGCCUGUGGGAUCUCGCCGGGUCCCCUGGAGAUCUUCAAACUGUACACAACAACCGCAGCGCAGCAGGCUCCUGUUG